UAGGGAAUAUUGCACAAUGGGGGAAACCCUGAUGCAGCGACGCCGCGUGAGUGACGAAGGCCUUAGGGUCGUAAAGCUCUGUUGAAUGGGAAGAAAAAAAUGACGGUACCAUUCGAGAAAGGAUCGGCUAACUUCGUGCCAGCAGCCGCGGUAAUACGAGGGAUCCUAGCGUUGUUCGGAAUUAUUGGGCGUAAAGCGUGUGUAGGCGGCUUUGCAAGUCAGUUGUGAAAGCCCCGGGCUCAACCCGGGAAGUGCUUCUGAUACUGCAUAGCUUGAGUACUGGAGAGGAUAGUGGAAUUCCAGGUGUAGUGGUGAAAUACGUAGAUAUCUGGAGGAACACCGGUGGCGAAGGCGGCUAUCUGGCCAUGUACUGACGCUGAGACACGAAAGCGUGGGGAGCAAACAGG
rnacentral:rRNA from 1 species